rnacentral:rRNA from 1 species
UAGGUGGGAGGCUUUGAAGUGUGGACGCCAGUCUGCAUGGAGCCGACCUUGAAAUACCACCCUUUAAUGUUUGAUGUUCUAACGUGGGCCCCUUACCGGGGUUGCGGACAGUGUCUGGUGGGUAGUUUGACUGGGGCGGUCUCCUCCUAAAGAGUAACGGAGGAGCACGAAGGUUGGCUAAUCCUGGUCGGACAUCAGGAGGUUAGUGCAAUGGCAUAAGCCAGCUUGACUGCGAGCGUGACGGCGCGAGCAGGUGCGAAAGCAGGUCAUAGUGAUCCGGUGGUUCUGAAUGGAAGGGCCAUCGCUCAACGGAUAAAAGGUACUCCGGGGAUAACAGGCUGAUACCGCCCAAGAGUUCAUAUCGACGGCGGUGUUUGGCACCUCGAUGUCGGCUCAUCACAUCCUGGGGCUGAAGUAGGUCCCAAGGGUAUGGCUGUUCGCCAUUUAAAGUGGUACGCGAGCUGGGUUUAGAACGUCGUGAGACAGUUCGGUCCCUAUCUGCCGUGGGCGCUGGAGAACUGAGGGGGGCUGCUCCUAGUACGAGAGGACCGGAGUGGACGCAUCACUGGUGUUCGGGUUGUCAUGCCAAUGGCACUGCCCGGUAGCUAAAUGCGGAAGAGAUAAGUGCUGAAAGCAUCUAAGCACGAAACUUGCCCCGAGAUGAGUUCUCCCUGACUCCUUGAGAGUCCUGAAGGAACGUUGAAGACGACGACGUUGAUAGGCCGGGUGUGUAAGCGCAGCGAUGCGUUGAGCUAACCGGUACUAAUGAACCGUGAGG